rnacentral:rRNA from 1 species
CACCCUUUAAUGUUUGAUGUUCUAACGUGGACCCGUUACCCGGGUUGCGGACAGUGUCUGGUGGGUAGUUUGACUGGGGCGGUCUCCUCCUAAAGAGUAACGGAGGAGCACGAAGGUUGGCUAAUCCUGGUCGGACAUCAGGAGGUUAGUGCAAUGGCAUAAGCCAGCUUGACUGCGAGCGUGACGGCGCGAGCAGGUGCGAAAGCAGGUCAUAGUGAUCCGGUGGUUCUGAAUGGAAGGGCCAUCGCUCAACGGAUAAAAGGUACUCCGGGGAUAACAGGCUGAUACCGCCCAAGAGUUCAUAUCGACGGCGGUGUUUGGCACCUCGAUGUCGGCUCAUCACAUCCUGGGGCUGAAGUAGGUCCCAAGGGUAUGGCUGUUCGCCAUUUAAAGUGGUACGCGAGCUGGGUUUAGAACGUCGUGAGACAGUUCGGUCCCUAUCUGCCGUGGGCGCUGGAGAACUGAGGGGGGCUGCUCCUAGUACGAGAGGACCGGAGUGGACGCAUCACUGGUGUUCGGGUUGUCAUGCCAAUGGCACUGCCCGGUAGCUAAAUGCGGAAGAGAUAAGUGCUGAAAGCAUCUAAGCACGAAACUUGCCCCGA